rnacentral:rRNA from 1 species
AUGGGUGCAGCGUGCUGGUCGCCGGCGCAGAUCUGGCGGGUAGGUCUGGAUGCCACGGAUCCGGCUUUGGGAGUGCAAGAUGGGCAGUUUCUCUGCCCCGUUCUGCUCCUCUGGAGUCCAGGGGGGCGGAAGGAGACGGCCGCUGGCCGGAGGUUCGUGGCUGGCGGCCCGGGAGGGGCACUGCCGGCUGCUGGUGGUGCCUGGUUGCCGCUUGUUGGAGCAGGGUGGCUCCAGCCGCGGUUGGGUGCGAGGUGCAGGACCCGAUUUGGUCUCUGUAGGCCCGUCGUUGAGGAGGUUUGCGGGUGGCCCUACGUAGCAGUGGCGUGCCCGUUGUGUGGGGGGUGCGCGGUCCAUUGGAGGUACGGGUUGACCUCGGCCUGCUGCAUGGGAGUGGCUGCGCAGGGUGAAAGCCUGGUCGGUGCUGACCGGCAGGCGGCGACGGCGCCUAUGGGCGUCGCUAUCCUCCUUGGAGGCGUUGUCGGGAAUCUUCACAGCCUCUACUCCCGGAUCAAGUUCUUCAGGUGA